rnacentral:rRNA from 1 species
UCCGGUUGAUCCUGCCGGACCUGACUGCUAUCGGAUUGGUACUAAGCCAUGCGAGUCAUUGUAGCAAUACAAGGCGGACGGCUCAGUAACACGUAGUCAACCUAACUCGUGGACGUGGAUAACCUCGGGAAACUGAGAAUAAACCACGAUAGAUCAUAGUGCCUGGAAUGGCUUAUGGUCCAAACAGUUUACUGCCAUGGGAUGGGACUGCGGCCUAUCAGCUUGUUGGUGAGGUAAUGGCCCACCAAGGCGAUUACAGGUACGGGCUCUGAGAGGAGAAGCCCGGAGAUGGGUACUGAGACACGGACCCAGGCCCUAUGGGGCGCAGCAGGCGAGAAACCUUAGCAAUGUGCGAAAGCACGACUGGGUCAGUCCGAGUGAUUCCUGAUAAAGGAGUCUUUUGCUUGUCCUAAAAGCACAGGUGAAUAAGGGGUGGGCAAGUCUGGUGUCAGCCGCCGCGGUAAUACCAGCACCUCGAGUGGUCAGGACGUUUAUUGGGCCUAAAGCAUCCGUAGCCGGCUUUGCAAGUCUUCGGUUAAAUCCACCUGCUCAACAGAUGGGCCGCUGGAGAUACUACAAAGCUAGGGAGUGGGAGAGGCAGACGGUAUUCAGUGGGUAGGGGUAAAAUCCUCUGAUCCAUUGAGGACCACCAGUGGCGAAGGCGGUCUGCCAGAACACGUUCGACGGUGAGGGAUGAAAGCUGGGGGAGCAAACCGGAUUAGAUACCCGGGUAGUCCCAGCUGUAAACGAUGCAAACUCGGUGAUGCAUUGGCUUAUGGCCAAUGCAGUGCCGCAGGGAAGCCGUUAAGUUUGCCGCCUGGGAAGUACGGACGCAAGUCUGAAACUUAAAGGAAUUGGCGGGGGAGCACCACAAGGGGUGAAGCCUGCGGUUCAAUUGGACUCAACGCCGGA